rnacentral:rRNA from 1 species
AUGAACGCUAGCUACAGGCUUAACACAUGCAAGUCGAGGGGCAGCAUGGUCUUAGCUUGCUAAGGCCGAUGGCGACCGGCGCACGGGUGAGUAACACGUAUCCAACCUGCCGUCUACUCUUGGACAGCCUUCUGAAAGGAAGAUUAAUACAAGAUGGCAUCAUGAGUCCGCAUGUUCACAUGAUUAAAGGUAUUCCGGUAGACGAUGGGGAUGCGUUCCAUUAGAUAGUAGGCGGGGUAACGGCCCACCUAGUCUUCGAUGGAUAGGGGUUCUGAGAGGAAGGUCCCCCACAUUGGAACUGAGACACGGUCCAAACUCCUACGGGAGGCAGCAGUGAGGAAUAUUGGUCAAUGGGCGAGAGCCUGAACCAGCCAAGUAGCGUGAAGGAUGACUGCCCUAUGGGUUGUAAACUUCUUUUAUAAAGGAAUAAAGUCGGGUAUGCAUACCCGUUUGCAUGUACUUUAUGAAUAAGGAUCGGCUAACUCCGUGCCAGCAGCCGCGGUAAUACGGAGGAUCCGAGCGUUAUCCGGAUUUAUUGGGUUUAAAGGGAGCGUAGAUGGAUGUUUAAGUCAGUUGUGAAAGUUUGCGGCUCAACCGUAAAAUUGCAGUUGAUACUGGAUAUCUUGAGUGCAGUUGAGGCAGGCGGAAUUCGUGGUGUAGCGGUGAAAUGCUUAGAUAUCACGAAGAACUCCGAUUGCGAAGGCAGCCUGCUAAGCUGCAACUGACAUUGAGGCUCGAAAGUGUGGGUAUCAAACAGGAUUAGAUACCCUGGUAGUCCACGCCGUAAACGAUGAGAACUAGGUGUUGGGGGAAUAACUCAGUGCCGCAGUUAACGCAGUAAGUUCUCCGCCUGGGGAGUAUGCACGCAAGUGUGAAACUCAAAGGAAUUGACGGGGGCCCGCACAAGCGGUGGAGUAUGUGGUUUAAUUCGAAGCAACGCGAAGAACCUUACCAAGACUUGACAUAUACAUGAAAGCCUAAGAGAUUAGGCCCCUCUUCGGAGCGUGUAUACAGGUGAUGCAUGGUUGUCGUCAGCUCGUGCCGUGAGGUGUCGGCUUAAGUGCCAUAACGAGCGCAACCCUUGUUGUCAGUUACUAACAGGUUCUGCUGAGGACUCUGACAAGACUGCCAUCGUAAGAUGUGAGGAAGGUGGGGAUGACGUCAAAUCAGCACGGCCCUUACGUCCGGGGCUACACACGUGUUACAAUGGGGGGUACAGAGGGCCGCUACCACGCGAGUGGAUGCCAAUCCCCAAAACCUCUCUCAGUUCGGACUGGAGUCUGCAACCCGACUCCACGAAGCUGGAUUCGCUAGUAAUCGCGCAUCAGCCACGGCGCGGUGAAUACGUUCCCGGGCCUUGUACACACCGCCCGUCACACCAUGGGAGUUUGCAACACCCGAAGUCAGUGACCCAACCGCAAGGAGGGAGCUGCCGAAGGUGGGAUAAGCGACUGGGGUG